GCUCGCUGCCGCCGUCGCCAGCGCCUUCCUCCCUUCCCGCCGCUCUGCAGUAGCUCCCUUCCCCUUUCCUCCUUUCCGUCGGCAUUGUCAAGAACAAGGGGGGGCUGCCUUCGCCGCUCGCCCUCUUGCCGGCAUGUUUUCAGAGAUCUGGCAUCGGAAAUGAGUUCCUCACCCCCGAAAACCCCGGAAGCAACCCUCCUCCGUCGGAAAUCCUUGCCGGCAGCCUUGGAAAGUGUCGCGUGAGCAGCGACUUUCCGGCCCCGAUCCGCCGCCUUCCGGCCACUUUCCGGCCAAAACUCUUGUACUUCCGGACUCCCCGCAACUUGAGCUUCGCGUAGGCGCUUCCGGAUUUGAAUUCCGACACUGUUGGCAGGACCGGCUUCCGGACCCCGGUGUUUUCUGGACGCGCGAAAUAUUUUAAUUUUUAACUCGGUAUAAUUUUAUUUUAGACUCUAAAAAUUUUGUUUUAAUAUUAGAAAGUUAUUGUGGCUAUUAAUUGCUUGUGUUGGGUAGUUUAAAAAUAAAUCAAAUUAAAUUGUUUGGAUUGUGGUGUUUUGGAGUCGGG
rnacentral:lncRNA from 1 species